rnacentral:rRNA from 1 species
ACUCAAAUGAAUAGACGGGGGCCCGCACAAGCAGCGGAGCGUGUGGUUUAAUUCGAUGCGACACGAAGAACCUUACCUAGGUUUGACAUGUGCGUAGUAGUGAAGCGAAAGCGGAACGACCCUUCGGGGAGCGCACACAGGUGCUGCAUGGCUGUCGUCAGCUCGUGUCGUGAGAUGUUGGGUUAAGUCCCGCAACGAGCGCAACCCUUGUCGCUAGUUACAAGUGUCUAGCGAGACUGCCGGUAUCAAGCUGGAGGAAGGUGGGGAUGACGUCAAGUCAGCAUGGCCUUUAUGUCUAGGGCGACUCACACGCUACAAUGGGCGGUACAACGGGAAGCGAAGGGGAGACCUGGAGCGAAUCCUCGCAAAGCCGUUCGUAGUUCAGAUUGUAGGCUGCAACCCGCCUACAUGAAGCCGGAGUUGCUAGUAACCGCAGGUCAGCUAUACUGCGGUGAAUACGUUCCCGGGCCUUGUACACACCGCCCGU